AGUCGAACGAUGAACCUCCUUCGGGAGGGGAUUAGUGGCGAACGGGUGAGUAACACGUGGGCAAUCUGCCCUUCACUCUGGGACAAGCCCUGGAAACGGGGUCUAAUACCGGAUACGAGCCUGAGAGGCAUCUCUCGGGUUGGAACACCUCCUCGGAUGAAGGAUGAGCCCGCGGCCUAUCAGCUUGUUGGUGAGGUAAUGGCUCACCAAGGCGACGACGGGUAGCCGGCCUGAGAGGGCGACCGGCCACACUGGGACUGAGACACGGCCCAGACUCCUACGGGAGGCAGCAGUGGGGAAUAUUGCACAAUGGGCGAAAGCCUGAUGCAGCGACGCCGCGUGAGGGAUGACGGCCUUCGGGUUGUAAACCUCUUUCAGCAGGGAAGAAGCGAGAGUGACGGUACCUGCAGAAGAAGCGCCGGCUAACUACGUGCCAGCAGCCGCGGUAAUACGUAGGGCGCAAGCGUUGUCCGGAAUUAUUGGGCGUAAAGAGCUCGUAGGCGGCUUGUCACGUCGAUUGUGAAAGCCCGAGGCUUAACCUCGGGUCUGCAGUCGAUACGGGCUAGCUAGAGUGUGGUAGGGGAGAUCGGAAUUCCUGGUGUAGCGGUGAAAUGCGCAGAUAUCAGGA
rnacentral:rRNA from 1 species